rnacentral:lncRNA from 1 species
AGGUGCAGCUGGUGGAGUCUGGGGGAGGCUUAGUGCAGCCUGGAAGGUCCCUGAAACUCUCCUGUGUAGCCUCUGGAUUCACUUUCAGUGACUAUAGAAUGAACUGGAUUCGCCAGGCUCCAGGGAAGGGGCUGGAGUGGGUUGCAUCUAUUAGUAGUAGUAGCAGUUACAUCUACUAUGCAGACACAGUGAAGGGCUGAUUCACCAUCUCCAGAGACAAUGCCAAGGACACCCUGUACCUGCAAAUGACCAGUCUGAGGUCUGAGGACACUGCCUUGUAUUACUGUGCAAGACACACU